GUGUAGUUUGAAAGGAGAGCCAGUUAGCACUCCCCUCGACAAGGAUGGAAUCACAUUUAGGCCGGGAUAGGCACAGACAAAGUCCCGGUCGCCAAUUUUUUUCGUUUCAAGAAGGCAUUUUUAUUUUUUUUU